AGCAGCCGCGGUAAUUCCAGCUCCAAUAGCGUAUAUUAAAGUUGUUGCAGUUAAAAAGCUCGUAGUUGAAUUUCGGGGUUAGUAGGUUGGUCAUGCCUCUGGUAUGUACUGGUCUCACUGAUUCCUCCUUCCUGAUGAGCCGUAAUGCCAUUAAUUUGGUGUUGCGGGGAAUUUGGACUGUUACUUUGAAAAAUUAGAGUGUUUAAAGCAGGCUCACGCUUGAAUACAUUAGCAUGGAAUAAUGAAAUAGGACGUUUGAUUCUAUUUUGUUGGUUUCUAGGAUCGACGUAAUGAUUAAUAGGGAUAGUUGGGGGCAUUAGUAUUCAAUUGUCAGAGGUGAAAUUCUUGGAUUUAUUGAAGACUAACUACUGCGAAAGCAUUUGCCAAGGAUGUUUUCAUUAAUCAAGAACGAAAGUUAGGGGAUCGAAGACGAUCAGAUACCGUCGUAGUCUUAACCAUAAACUAUGCCGACUAGGGAUCGGAUGAUGUUAAUUUUUAAUGACUCAUUCGCGCCUUACGG
rnacentral:rRNA from 1 species